GACGAACCGUACGAACGUUAUUCGGAAUUACUGGGCUUAAAGGGUGCGUAGGCGGCGCAGUAAGUUGGGUGUGAAACCCCUCGGCUUAACCGAGGAAUUGCGCCCAAAACUACUGUGCUCGAGGGAGAUAGAGGUGAGCGGAACUUAGGGUGGAGCGGUGAAAUGCGUUGAUAUCCUAAGGAACACCGGUGGCGAAAGCGGCUCACUGGAUCUCUACUGACGCUGAGGCGCGAAAGCCAGGGGAGCAAACGGG
rnacentral:rRNA from 1 species